rnacentral:rRNA from 1 species
UACGUAGGUGGCAAGCGUUGUCCGGAAUUAUUGGGCGUAAAGCGCGCGCAGGCGGUCCUUUAAGUCUGAUGUGAAAGCCCACGGCUCAACCGUGGAGGGUCAUUGGAAACUGGGGGGACUUGAGUACAGAAGAGAAGAGUGGAAUUCCACGUGUAGCGGUGAAAUGCGUAGAGAUGUGAAGGAACACCAGUGGCGAAGGCGACUCUUUGGUCUGUAACUGACGCUGAGGCGCGAAAGCGUGGGGAGCAAACAGG